rnacentral:rRNA from 1 species
AUUGAACGCUGGCGGCAUGCCUAACACAUGCAAGUCGAACGGCAGCACGGUCUAGCUUGCUAGAUGGGUGGCGAGUGGCGCACGGGUGAGUAACGCGUAGGAAUAUGCCUUAAAGAGGGGGACAACUUAGGGAAACUUAAGCUAAUACCGCAUACGCUCUUAGGAGGAAAGCUGGGGACCUUCGGGCCUGGCGCUUCACGAAUAGCCUGCGUCCGAUUAGCUAGUUGGUAGGGUAAGGGCCUACCAAGGCGACGAUCGGUAGUUGGUCUGAGAGGACGGCCAGCCACACUGGGACUGAGACACGGCCCAGACUCCUACGGGAGGCAGCAGUGGGGAAUAUUGGACAAUGGGGGGAACCCUGAUCCAGCGAUGCCGCGUGUGUGAAGAAGGCCUGAGGGUUGUAAAGCACUUUCAGUGGGGAGGAGGUUUUGUUGGUUAAGAGCUGAUGAGAUGGACGUUACCCACAGAAGAAGCACCGGCUAACUCCGUGCCAGCCGCCGCGGUAA